GAAGAGUUCUACAUACAUAAAAACUACCUUAACAAUAAAGAACUUUUAAUUAACGAAAACAUCGAAUUUAAUAAACAGCGAUAUUUUUUGAAAUUUUUGUAAUACCAGUUUUUGGAAAUCCUUACGUCUGCGCAUUAACAUUACUUUAUUGUCAUUAUUGAGUUUAGUCACACAUCGAACACGUUACAGUAAAGUCAAAAAGAAUUUCAAGACCUGUUCUGCAAAUUGUAUUCCGGUCGUCAUCUUGCAAAAUACUGAUUUUCAAGCAUUAAUAAUUAAUAAACACACAUACACACAUUGACAUUUAUGUAUAUAUAGUUUAAAAAAGAGGUGAGCCAACCUAUACUUUAAUUGUUUUAAUGUACAAAACGUCAACGUUUUUCCGAAAUGUUUUUUAUAUGUUUUUUUAUAUGCGUUUUAGAAUCCGACCCUCAUGUAAAUCUUUGAACUCUAACUUAAAAUUAUGUACGUCUAAAUAACGAAUUAUCUCCAUUGCCUUUGCGAUGUUAAAUUUAUAUAGAUCAAAUCCUCCAUUUGCUACAUCCUAAGACGACGUGCCUGAAGAAGACCAACUUAUUGGUCGAAACGUAACGUAGCACCGAUUUAAAAAUUAAAUAAAUAUCUUUCAUCGUUCUCAAACAGUGGUUUUUUUGGAAAAAUUCACACCUAUAAUUAUACAUAUACGAUGAAUAUAGAGUCAACAUUAGCUAAA